UUCCGGUUGAUCCUGCCGGACCCGACCGCUAUCGGGGUGGGACUAAGCCAUGGGAGUCGUGCGCCCCCGGACGCGGGGGCGCGGCGGACGGCUGAGUAACACGUGGCCAACCUACCCUCGGGACGAGGAUAACCCCGGGAAACUGGGGCUAAUCCCCGAUAGGCGAGGGGGCCUGGAACGGGUCCCUCGCCGAAAGGGCGCGCGGAGCUUCCCCGCGCGCCGCCCGAGGAUGGGGCUGCGGCCCAUCAGGUAGUUGGCGGGGUAACGGCCCGCCAAGCCGAUAACGGGUAGGGGCCGUGGGAGCGGGAGCCCCCAGAUGGGCACUGAGACAAGGGCCCAGGCCCUACGGGGCGCACCAGGCGCGAAACCUCCGCAAUGCGGGCAACCGUGACGGGGUCACCCCGAGUGCCGCCGAUAAGGCGGCUGUUCCCCGCUGUAAGAAGGCGGGGGAGUAAGCGGGGGGCAAGUCUGGUGUCAGCCGCCGCGGUAAUACCCAGCCCCGCGAGCGGUCGGGAUGCUUACUGGGCCUAAAGCGCCCGUAGCCGGCCCGGUAAGUUCCCCCCUAAAGCCCCGGGCUCAACCCGGGGAGUGGGGGGAUACUACCGGGCUAGGGGGCGGGAGAGGCCGAGGGUACUCCCGGGGUAGGGGCGAAAUCCGAUAAUCCCGGGAGGACCACCAGUGGCGAAGGCGCUCGGCUGGAACGCGCCCGACGGUGAGGGGCGAAAGCCGGGGGAGCAAACCGGAUUAGAUACCCGGGUAGUCCCGGCUGUAAACGAUGCGGGCUAGGUGUUGGGCGGGCUUGGAGCCCGCCCAGUGCCGCAGGGAAGCCGUUAAGCCCGCCGCCUGGGGAGUACGGCCGCAAGGCUGAAACUUAAAGGAAUUGGCGGGGGAGCACCACAAGGGGUGGAGCCUGCGGUUUAAUUGGAGUCAACGCCGGAA
rnacentral:rRNA from 1 species